rnacentral:rRNA from 1 species
UACGGGGGGGGCUAGCGUUGUUCGGCCUUACUGGGCGUAAAGCGCGCGUAGGCGGGCUGUUAAGUCGGGGGUGAAAUCCCGGGGCUCAACCCCGGAACGGCCUCCGAUACUGGCAGCCUUGAGGUCGGGAGAGGUGAGUGGAAUGGCGAGUGUAGAGGUGAAAUUCGUAGAUAUUCGCCGGAACACCAGUGGCGAAGGCGGCUCACUGGCCCGAUACUGACGCUGAGGUGCGACAGCGUGGGGAGCAAACAGG